CGGCGCGAGGCGAAGCGCGGGGCGGCGCGGCGGGGCUCCUCCCCCCUUCUCCCCCCCCCCCCCCUCCGCUAACCUCCCUGCAGCCUGGCGCGCGCCGGCCGGGCCGCACCGCUGCGGGCUCGGCGCGCGCGGGCCAUGUCCGCCUUCUGCCUGGGCUUGGCCGGCCGAGCUUCAGCACCCGCCGAGCCGGACAGCGCCUGCUGCAUGGAGCUGCCCGCUGGGGCCGGGGACGCAGUCCGGAGUCCCGCCGCCGCUGCCGCCACCGCCACCGCCGCCGCCGCCGCCCUCGUCUCCUUCCCCGGGGGCCCCGGGGACCUGGAACUGGCCUUAGAGGAGGAGCUGGCGUUGCUGGCGGCUGGGGAGCGGCCGUCCGAGCCCGGGGAGCAUCCUCAGGAGGAGCCGGGGUCUCCGGCUGAGGGGCACGGGCCGCUGUCGCCGCUGUCGCCGCCGCCUACCCAGGAUCCCGAGCUGCUGUCGGUGAUCCGACAGAAGGAGAAGGACCUGGUGCUGGCGGCCCGGCUAGGCAAGGCACUGCUCGAGAGGAACCAGGACAUGAGCCGGCAGUACGAGCAGAUGCACAAGGAGCUGACCGACAAGCUGGAGCACUUAGAACAAGAGAAGCAUGAACUGAGAAGACGCUUUGAGAACCGAGAAGGGGAGUGGGAAGGACGCGUGUCGGAGCUGGAGACCGACGUGAAACAGCUGCAGCACGAGCUGGAGCGGCAGCAGGUCCAUCUGCGGGAAGCAGACCGAGAGAAGACCCGAGCUGUGCAGGAGCUGUCAGAACAGAACCAGAGGCUGCUGGACCAGCUCAGCAGGGCAUCCGAAGUUGAGAGACAGCUCUCCCUGCAGGUCCACGCACUCAGAGAAGACUUUCGGGAGAAAAAUUCAUCCACCAACCAGCACAUCAUCCGGCUGGAAAGCCUUCAGGCCGAGCAGGUUCUUGAAAUCAAGAUGCUGUCGGAUCGGAAACGGGAGCUAGAGCACAGGCUCAGCGCCACCUUAGAGGAGAAUGGUCUGCUUCAAGGGGCCGUGGAGGAGCUGCAGGACCGGGUGCUGAUCCUGGAAAGGCAGGGCCACGACAAAGACCUGCAGCUGCACCAGAGCCAGCUGGAGCUCCAGGAGGUGCGGCUGUCCUGCCGGCAGCUUCAGGUGACCGUGGAGGAGCUCAGGGAGGAGAGGAGCCUGCAGGGCUCCGCUGCCCCCAGCACAUCCCUGCUGUCGGAGAUCGAGCAGAGCAUGGAGGCCGAGGAGCUGGAGCAGGAGAGAGAGCAGCUGAGACUGCAGCUCUGGGAAGCCUACUGCCAGGUCCGCUACCUCUGCUCCCACCUUCGAGGGAGCGACAGCGCCGACUCCGCCGUGUCCACAGACUCCUCCAUGGACGAGUCCUCAGAGACCUCGUCCGCCAAGGAUGUGCCUGCUGGCAGCCUGCGCACUGCCCUCAGCGAUCUCAAGAGGCUGAUACAGAGCAUCGUAGAUGGCGUGGAGCCCACGGGUGCCCGGAGACUGGACGAUGAGUCAUUAGAAGAGCAGAUAAGGCAAACCAGUGAGGACUCCAGAGCCCUGAGAGAGCUCAUGGAGGGAGAGAGGGGUAAACUGAGGCAGAGCCUAGAAGAGCUGCAGCAACUCCACAGUCAGGUGACGCUGCUGAGCGUGGAGAUGAGCGCGCUGAAGGAGGAAAGGGACCGACUCAGAGUGACAUCUGAGGACAAGGAGCCCAAGGAGCAGCUGCAGAAGGCCAUCAGGGACCGGGAUGAGGCCAUCGCUAAAAAGAACGCUGUAGAGCUGGAACUUGCCAAGUGCAAGAUGGACAUGAUGUCUCUGAACAGCCAGCUGUUGGAUGCCAUUCAGCAGAAACUGAACCUCUCACAGCAGCUUGAGGCUUGGCAGUUUGCUUCCUCAGGGCUUUUUACUAUCUGGCUCCUUUGGUUUCUGAUCUAGUGGCCUUUCUCAGCUCCUGUACCAACAGCUUUAGUUGUACACCCCUCCUGCCUUUGAGGAUGACAUGCACAGGGUCAUUGACAGGCAGCUGAUGGACACGCACCUGAAGGAACAGAGCCGGCCUGCUGCCGCCUUCUCUAGGGGCCACGGCGUAGGGCGGGGGCAGGAACCCAGCACCAUGGACGGCAAACGGCUCUUCUCCUUCUUCAGGAAAAUUUAGGUGGGGAGGAGUCAGGCCGUGGAAGAUGGAGAACUAGAGGCAGUUGAAAAGGGUCUUCCGUCACCUUCAGCUGGAGCCAGUGGGUUCCAGUGGGUUCAUUCCCUUUUGUUAGUGUGAUGGAGAAGUGGGGCCUGCCUUGUCCUCUGAAGGCUGCUCCCUGCCAAGGGACAGGAAUGAAUCCUGUCCCCACUGCCCAAGCCAAGCCUCAGCCUGGGCUUCCCCAGGACCCUGCUAGUGAGCAGGGCUCCAGCCUCUUCUCAUGCAGUCCAUUGAUGGGCUCUGCCACUCAGACCCAGCUCCUCACAGCCCACCCCAAAAGCUCUGCUGCCUCCUUGGAUUUGAACAUGGGGACAGACUGAGGUCCUCCUGUGCAUGCCUCAGGAGGCCUGAGCCUCCGUUCCUGCACCAGCCGCUUGCCUGGAGUAGGGGAGGCACGGCCCCUCACCCAUGUGCAUGCCCCUGUGCCGGAGUCCUGUAUGGCAGGAGCCCCAGCCUAUGGCUUAGGGCCUAAGAACCGGGUUACCCAUCUCCACCGAGGCCAUUCCGUACCCCCAGGGACAAUCCUGUCUUCUGGCUGCCUCCACUCAGCUUCCUCCAGGGCAGACAGUCCUUACCCCUAGUGAGGCCCAGACUUUCCCUCGUGGGGUAGGGCUGGGAGAGCACUGUUCUUCCUCCACAGCUCCUGCCCACCUCAAAUCAACCUGGCCAAGUCAAGUGCAGGCCACAGGCUGGCCUCCAAGGGGACCAGUCUAACCACCCACACACGGAAGGCAGCGUGGGGGCCAAGGGUGGAUGGGCUGAGGCUGCUGGGAGCCUCCAGAUCCUGCCCACCAGGCCUACAGGGGACAAGGCCUGCAGCCUGCUGCUUCUCCUUCCGCAGCAGCCGUCCCCAUCUCUGCUGAGGCCCCACUCAGAGGCUCUGUGGGCCCAGCCUGCAGCUGCUUACCACUCACAAAGCCUCCUGCCCUCAACGGGGAAAAGCACAGCAGGGCUGAGCAGAAAGAAUGUACUUAAAGAUGUGUACAUACCACAGUGCUGUAAUUUUGUAUGUAGCAAUUGUGUAAAUACACGUAUGGAUUUUAUAACACACAUAUAUAAAUCUAUAAAGGCAUAUUUUUAGAAAAACAGCGCACCACUGCUUCUUUUGAAAAUAGUCUAAAUAAGAAUAAAAUUAAUUUCUACAGA